rnacentral:rRNA from 1 species
CCUACGGGUGGCAGCAGUGAGGAAUAUUGGUCAAUGGGCGCGAGUCUGAACCAGCCAAGUAGCGUGAAGGAUGACUGCUCUACGGGUUGUAAACUUCGUUGAUAAAGGAAUAAAGUGACGCUCGUGUGUCUUUUUGUCUGUACUUUAUCAAUAAGGAUCGGCUAACCUCGUUCCAGCAGCCGCGGUAAUACGGAGGAUCCGAGGGUUAUCCGGAUUUAUUGUGUUUAAAGGGAGCGUAGGUGGGUUGUUAAGUCAGAUGUGAAAGUUUGCGGCUCAACCGUAGAAUGGCAAGUGAUACUGGCAGACUUGAGUACAGUAGAGGUAGGCGGAAUUCGUGGUGUAGCGGUGAAAUGCUUAGAUAUAACGAAGAACACCGAUUGCGAAGGCAGCUUACUAAUCUGCCACUGACAUUGAUGCUCGAAAGUGUGGGUAUCAAACAGGAUUAGAUACCCUUGUAGUC